GACGGGCUGCACGGUACGACAGGGAUAACUUUUCCUCGGGGCCUUAGUCAUUCCGAAGGGAGCUGUCCCUGCCCUGGUCCGUGGACUGGGGCACACGGCGCCCACCUACUCUGUAGGUUCCCGGGAUCGACUUUCUCAUCGGCCGAGGUGGCUCGUCA
rnacentral:other from 2 species